rnacentral:rRNA from 2 species
UUUGGUUAAGUUAGAAAGGGCGCACGGUGGAUGCCUUGACACUAGGAGUCGAUGAAGGACGGGACUAACGCCGAUAUGCUUCGGGGAGCUGUAAGUAAGCUUUGAUCCGAAGAUUUCCGAAUGGGGAAACCCACCAUACGUAAUGGUAUGGUAUCCUUAUCUGAAUACAUAGGGUAAGGAAGACAGACCCAGGGAACUGAAACAUCUAAGUACCUGGAGGAAGAGAAAGCAAAUGCGAUUUCCUGAGUAGCGGCGAGCGAAACGGAACAUAGCCCAAACCAAGAGGCUUGCCUCUUGGGGUUGUAGGACAUUCUAUACGGAGUUACAAAGGAACGAGGUAGACGAAGCGACCUGGAAAGGUCCGUCGUAGAGGGUAACAACCCCGUAGUCGAAACUUCGUUCUCUCUUGAAUGUAUCCUGAGUACGGCGGAACACGUGAAAUUCCGUCGGAAUCUGGGAGGACCAUCUCCCAAGGCUAAAUACUCCCUAGUGAUCGAUAGUGAACCAGUACCGUGAGGGAAAGGUGAAAAGCACCCCGGAAGGGGAGUGAAAGAGAUCCUGAAACCGUGUGCCUACAAAUAGUCAGAGCCCGUUAAUGGGUGAUGGCGUGCCUUUUGUAGAAUGAACCGGCGAGUUACGAUCCCGUGCGAGGUUAAGCUGAAGAGGCGGAGCCGCAGCGAAAGCGAGUCUGAAUAGGGCGUUUAGUACGUGGUCGUAGACCCGAAACCAGGUGAUCUACCCAUGUCCAGGGUGAAGUUCAGGUAACACUGAAUGGAGGCCCGAACCCACGCACGUUGAAAAGUGCGGGGAUGAGGUGUGGGUAGCGGAGAAAUUCCAAUCGAACCUGGAGAUAGCUGGUUCUCCCCGAAAUAGCUUUAGGGCUAGCCUUAAGUGUAAGAGUCUUGGAGGUAGAGCACUGAUUGGACUAGGGGUCCUCAUCGGAUUACCGAAUUCAGUCAAACUCCGAAUGCCAAUGACUUAUCCUUAGGAGUCAGACUGCGAGUGAUAAGAUCCGUAGUCAAAAGGGAAACAGCCCAGACCGCCAGCUAAGGUCCCAAAGUGUGUAUUAAGUGGAAAAGGAUGUGGAGUUGCUUAGACAACUAGGAUGUUGGCUUAGAAGCAGCCACCAUUUAAAGAGUGCGUAAUAGCUCACUAGUCGAGUGACUCUGCGCCGAAAAUGUACCGGGGCUAAAUACACCACCGAAGCUGCGGAUUGAUACCAAUGGUAUCAGUGGUAGGGGAGCGUUCUAAGGACAGUGAAGUCAGACCGUAAGGACUGGUGGAGUGCUUAGAAGUGAGAAUGCCGGUAUGAGUAGCGAAAGACGGGUGAGAAUCCCGUCCACCGAAUGCCUAAGGUUUCCUGAGGAAGGCUCGUCCGCUCAGGGUUAGUCAGGACCUAAGCCGAGGCCGACAGGCGUAGGCGAUGGACAACAGGUUGAUAUUCCUGUACCACCUCUUUAUCGUUUGAGCAAUGGAGGGACGCAGAAGGAUAGAAGAAGCGUGCGAUUGGUUGUGCACGUCCAAGCAGUUAGGCUGAUAAGUAGGCAAAUCCGCUUAUCGUAAAGGCUGAGCUGUGAUGGGGAAGCUCCUUAUGGAGCGAAGUCUUUGAUUCCCCGCUGCCAAGAAAAGCUUCUAGCGAGAUAAAAGGUGCCUGUACCGCAAACCGACACAGGUAGGCGAGGAGAGAAUCCUAAGGUGUGCGAGAGAACUCUGGUUAAGGAACUCGGCAAAAUGACCCCGUAACUUCGGGAGAAGGGGUGCUUUCUUAACGGAAAGCCGCAGUGAAUAGGCCCAAGCGACUGUUUAGCAAAAACACAGCUCUCUGCGAAGCCGUAAGGCGAAGUAUAGGGGGUGACACCUGCCCGGUGCUGGAAGGUUAAGGAGAGGGGUUAGCGUAAGCGAAGCUCUGAACUGAAGCCCCAGUAAACGGCGGCCGUAACUAUAACGGUCCUAAGGUAGCGAAAUUCCUUGUCGGGUAAGUUCCGACCCGCACGAAAGGUGUAACGAUUUGGGCACUGUCUCAACCAGAGACUCGGUGAAAUUAUAGUACCUGUGAAGAUGCAGGUUACCCGCGACAGGACGGAAAGACCCCGUGGAGCUUUACUGUAGCCUGAUAUUGAAUUUUGGUACAGUUUGUACAGGAUAGGCGGGAGCCUUUGAAACCGGAGCGCUAGCUUCGGUGGAGGCGCUGGUGGGAUACCGCCCUGACUGUAUUGAAAUUCUAACCUACGGGUCUUAUCGACCCGGGAGACAGUGUCAGGUGGGCAGUUUGACUGGGGCGGUCGCCUCCUAAAGUGUAACGGAGGCGCCCAAAGGUUCCCUCAGAAUGGUUGGAAAUCAUUCGUAGAGUGCAAAGGCAUAAGGGAGCUUGACUGCGAGACCUACAAGUCGAGCAGGGACGAAAGUCGGGCUUAGUGAUCCGGUGGUUCCGCAUGGAAGGGCCAUCGCUCAACGGAUAAAAGCUACCCCGGGGAUAACAGGCUUAUCUCCCCCAAGAGUCCACAUCGACGGGGAGGUUUGGCACCUCGAUGUCGGCUCAUCGCAUCCUGGGGCUGUAGUCGGUCCCAAGGGUUGGGCUGUUCGCCCAUUAAAGCGGUACGCGAGCUGGGUUCAGAACGUCGUGAGACAGUUCGGUCCCUAUCCGUCGUGGGCGUAGGAAAUUUGAGAGGAGCUGUCCUUAGUACGAGAGGACCGGGAUGGACGCACCGCUGGUGUACCAGUUGUUCUGCCAAGGGCAUAGCUGGGUAGCUAUGUGCGGAAGGGAUAAGUGCUGAAAGCAUCUAAGCAUGAAGCCCCCCUCAAGAUGAGAUUUCCCAUAGCGUAAGCUAGUAAGAUCCCUGAAAGAUGAUCAGGUUGAUAGGUUCGAGGUGGAAGCAUGGUGACAUGUGGAGCUGACGAAUACUAAUAGAUCGAGGACUUAACCAUAUAA